AUUGAACGCUGGCGGCAUGCCUUAACACAUGCAAGUCGGGCGGAGAUGAGGUGCUUGCACCUUAUCUUAGCGGCGGACGGGUGAGUAAUGCUUAGGAAUCUGCCUAUUAGUGGGGGACAACAUUCCGAAAGGAAUGCUAAUACCGCAUACGUCCUACGGGAGAAAGCAGGGGAUCUUCGGACCUUGCGCUAAUAGAUGAGCCUAAGUCGGAUUAGCUAGUUGGUGGGGUAAAGGCCUACCAAGGCGACGAUCUGUAGCGGGUCUGAGAGGAUGAUCCGCCACACUGGGACUGAGACACGGCCCAGACUCCUACGGGAGGCAGCAGUGGGGAAUAUUGGACAAUGGGGGGAACCCUGAUCCAGCCAUGCCGCGUGUGUGAAGAAGGCCUUAUGGUUGUAAAGCACUUUAAGCGAGGAGGAGGCUACUGAGACUAAUACUCUUGGAUAGUGGACGUUACUCGCAGAAUAAGCACCGGCUAACUCUGUGCCAGCCGCCGCGGUAAGAC
rnacentral:rRNA from 1 species